UAAAGCUCGUAGUUGACCUUGGGUCUGGCUGGCCGGUCCGCCUCACCGCGAGUACUGGUCCGGCUGGACCUUUCCUUCUGGGGAACCUCAUGGCCUUCACUGGCUGUGGGGGGAACCAGGACUUUUACUGUGAAAAAAUUAGAGUGUUCAAAGCAGGCCUUUGCUCGAAUACAUUAGCAUGGAAUAAUAGAAUAGGACGUGCGGUUCUAUUUUGUUGGUUUCUAGGACCGCCGUAAUGAUUAAUAGGGAUAGUCGGGGGCGUCAGUAUUCAGCUGUCAGAGGUGAAAUUCUUGGAUUUGCUGAAGACUAACUACUGCGAAAGCAUUCGCCAAGGAUGUUUUCAUUAAUCAGGGAACGAAAGUUAGGGGAUCGAAGACGAUCAGAUACCGUCGUAGUCUUAACCAUAAACUAUGCCGACUAGGGAUCGGGCGGGAUUCUAUGAUGACCCGUUCGGCACCUUUCCAG
rnacentral:rRNA from 1 species